rnacentral:rRNA from 1 species
GAUGAACGCUGGCGGCGUGCCUAAUACAUGCAAGUCGAGCGAACAGACGAGGAGCUUGCUCCUUUGACGUUAGCGGCGGACGGGUGAGUAACACGUGGGUAACCUACCUAUAAGACUGGGAUAACUUCGGGAAACCGGAGCUAAUACCGGAUAAUAUUUCGAACCGCAUGGUUCGAUAGUGAAAGAUGGCUUUGCUAUCACUUAUAGAUGGACCUGCGCCGUAUUAGCUAGUUGGUAAGGUAACGGCUUACCAAGGCAACGAUACGUAGCCGACCUGAGAGGGUGAUCAGCCACACUGGAACUGAGACACGGUCCAGACUCCUACAGGAGGCAGCAGUAGGGAAUCCUCCGCAAGGGGCGAAAGCCUGACGGAGCAACGCCGCGUGAGUGACGAAGGUCUUCGGAUCGUAAAACUCUGUUAUUAGGGAAGAACAAACGUGUAAGUAACUGUGCACGUCUUGACGGUACCUAAUCAGAAAGCCACGGCUAACUACGUGCCAGCCGCCGCUGUAA